AACCCAUGCAUCGGAUAUUUUCGUAGUAAUUAUUUAAAUCUUUCCCAAGCUUCGUACAAUUUUUCAUCCUCUGAUUACAAAAAAGACGUAAUAUCAUUUCUAAGCUU
rfam:Gossypium raimondii Chr05_contig_822, whole genome shotgun sequence.